GUCAUGUCCCAGUGACUCACUCAUGGAUCCUCCAGGGCUAUAAAAAUCAUAUCCAAAUUCAUCACACCUCAUCAAAGACUGCUGUACAAUGAUUUGUAGAAAACAUUUUUCCAAGCUCCUGGGAGACAGCACUACCAACUUCCAGAUCAAGGUCAGGUGUCCCUGCCAGACCGAUGGAAGCUCCUGACAGUACAAUCAAAGUAGCCUUUCACUUCUUGGAAAUAGCUGACAUGUGAGUUGGAAUAAACCCAUAAUCCCACAAGACAAAAUCUCAUCCCAGGCUGUGACUGAUGGAGAGCUGAAGCAACUCGGACUUUCACCUUGACUAAGCUUUGGAAUAAAGUUAUAGGAGCAAU